rnacentral:rRNA from 1 species
CAAUAGCGUAAAUUAAAAUUGUUGCAGUUAAAAAGCUCGUAGUUGGACCUUGGACCUGGACAGGCGGUCCGCCUCACGGCGAGUACUGUCUUGCUGGGUCUUUCCUCUUGGUGAUCUGUUGUUUCGGCAGCAGGGAACCAGGACCUUUACUUUGAAAAAAUUAGAGUGUUCAAAGCAGGCUCGACGCCGGAAUAUAUUAGCAUGGAAUAAUAAAAUAGGACGUGCGGUUCUAUUUUGUUGGUUUUUGGAAUCGCCGUAAUGAUUAAUAGGGACAGUCGGGGGCAUUAGUACUCACAUGCUAGAGGUGAAAUUCUUGGAUUUUGUGAAGACUAACUUCUGCGAAAGCAUUUGCCAAGGAUGUUUUCAUUGA